GCGAACUCGCGAGGCUUUGCUCUGGCGCAGUAGGCGAUUCGGGAUCCCUCUGCCGCCCUCCGCUUUCCCCGCCCCGCAGGACCCGGGGGCGCAGGAACGACCCCGGCUGACCCUGGAGAGCCCCUGCGUCUUCCCGCGGCGCGGCUCGGGAAGGACGCGCGCAGCCCAGCCGGGAAAUGGGCGAGCGGGUGUAGACUGGGAGAACACUGGCGCGCGGGUGUAGACCGCAGAGGGGCGGGGCGAGCGGGCCGCGAGCUGCAGGUGGCUGCGCACGGGGCUGCGCGCGCGGGAACCCCGCGCGGCUGGAAGGGAACGUCGGGCCGAGUCCCGACGUCCCUCGCUGCGGAUCCCCGAGGCCGAGGCCAGGUCCGCCAGCUGGGUGUGCUUCCCGCGGGACCAAGGACACGCACCUUGAAGACCACACGGUCUUCACGGUCAACCACACGGUCUCCACGUGUCCGCAGGCGCUCCAGACAAGACCUUGCCCGCGCCCACAGUCCCAGAGUCGGCCUGCGGGUGCUUCAACCACGAACCACGAGCAAAACUCAUCAGAUGCUUGUGAAAGUGUUUCUAGGAUCAAGACCAAAAUUCACAGAUAGGACCAGGGAAAAGAACUAAAGCGAAACAAAUACAUGCGGGAAACUGAAUUGUAUAAAGUUAAAAUUAAGUCCUCAGGAAACUUCUGAGGAACUGUUCCUCCAAACAUGGAGUUCCAGUAAGAAAGAAGAUGUGAAAUCUGGAAUAGGGACGCGGGGUGCGGACCCUCUCCAGGGUUGGGGCUUGCACCCGAGCAGCAGUGUGACCCUAUUUGGAGACAAGGCAUUUAUGGAGGUGGUUAAGAUGCAGCGAGGCCAUGAGGGUGCAGCAAGUGUCCUGAGAAGAAGACGGGGAGCUCCAGGAGCCAGUGCACAGGGGAAAGGCCCUGAAGGACACACGGGGAGAGUGGCCGCCUGCACGCCAAGGAGAGAGGCCUCAGGAGAAACCGACUCUGCGGACACCUUGAUCUGGACUUCUAGUUUCCAGAAAACAAACUGAGCAAAGAAAUUUCUGCAUGUGCAAACCACCCAGUCUGGUAUUGUCAUGGCAGCCAGAGCGGACUAAGACACCUUCUCUGGUGGCUGGUGGCCCCAAGACACUACGGCAGAGGACGUCAGUCCUCCUCAGGCCGGCCCGGCAUGGGGGUACCUCUCUCCCCUACUCUGUUCACAGGCCAGCCCAGACUCAAGAGGGUGGAAUAGAACCAAACAUCUUUUUUUUUUUUUAAGAUUUUAUUUAUUUAUUUGAGAGAGAGCACGAGCACAGGAAAGGGUAGAGCGAGGGGGAGAGGUAGACUCCCCACUGAGCGGAGAGCCUGGUGUGGGACUCAGGACCUGGGACCAGGACCUGCGCUGAAGGCAGACACUUAACCGACUGAGCCCCCCAGGCAUCGCUAGACCUCACAUCUUCGUGGCACCGUGUGCACAUGGGGAGGAGAGAAGCUGCGGGUGAGCACCCUGGGGGCCGCUGCUGUCCCUUCCCCCACCCGGCCCCUGGAGGUUUGUGAGCUCCAGAGGGGCGGGCGUCUCGGCUGGGCUGUUCACCAGGCACUGUGCUCAUGUCAGCGUCUAUGCAAAAUGCUCCGGGGGCUCUCCAGCUGAAUGAGGGCUCCUUGGAGGUUCGCCAUACACGUCCCUCAACCUUUCCGUAUGCUGGGAAAGUUUUAUAACAUACAUUUGGGUUACGAUUGGUGCCUUAGUUAUAUGUCUUCUCUACUUGAAUAUAGAAACCAUAAGGGCAAGGAACAUGGCUUUGUUGUGUAUCGUUGUACCCCAGGGGCUGUAUUAUGAUGCGUGCUCAAGAAAUAUGUAAUUAACCAUGAAAAGAAAGAAAUAAAACUAACAAGAAAACAAAACUGAAAAAUCCCAAAAAAACUCUAACUUCUCAGGAGCUUGCACAGACUUCUCCCUAUUUCAAGAGUCCCUUUUCUUUCUUAUGAUUAUCCUUUUGAAUAAAGUCUCUGCUAAGUCCAGAUUUGUUUUCAUUAAACAAAUGUUUCUGGAUAAACAUUACUUACAAAAGUUAAAAUACUUAAGGUUAACUUCUUUUAUGCCACAAAAAAAUGUCUAUACUAAAGAAUUUCUGUACAGUGCCAAUAAAAUGGAAACAGGUAAAACUAUGAG